UACAGAGGUCUCAAGCGUUGUUCGGAUUCAUUGGGCGUAAAGGGUGCGUAGGCGGCGCGGUAAGUCGGGUGUGAAAUCUCGGAGCUUAACUCCGAAACUGCAUUCGAUACUGCCGUGCUUGAGGACUGGAGAGGAGACGUGGAAUUUACGGUGUAGCGGUGAAAUGCGUAGAUAUCGGGAAGAACACCCGUGGCGAAGGCGACGUGCUGGGCUGAACCUGACGCUGAGACGCGAAAGCGUGGGGAGCGAACAGG
rnacentral:rRNA from 1 species